ACGAACGCUGGCGGCAGGCCUAACACAUGCAAGUCGAGCGAGGACUUCGGUCCUAGCGGCGGACGGGUGAGUCACGCGUGGGAACGUGCCCUUUGCUUCGGAAUAGCCCUGGGAAACUGGGAGUAAUACCGGAUGAGCCCUUUGGGGGAAAGAUUUAUCGGCGAAGGAUCGGCCCGCGUUGGAUUAGGUAGUUGGUGGGGUAAUGGCCUACCAAGCCGACGAUCCAUAGCUGGUUUGAGAGGAUGAUCAGCCACACUGGGACUGAGACACGGCCCAGACUCCUACGGGAGGCAGCAGUGGGGAAUCUUAGACAAUGGGGGAAACCCUGAUCUAGCCAUGCCGCGUGAGCGAUGAAGGCCUUAGGGUUGUAAAGCUCUUUCAGCUGGGAAGAUAAUGACGGUACCAGCAGAAGAAGCCCCGGCUAACUCCGUG
rnacentral:rRNA from 1 species